rnacentral:rRNA from 1 species
AUUGAACGCUGGCGGCAUGCCUUACACAUGCAAGUCGAACGGCAGCACGGGUGCUUGCACCUGGUGGCGAGUGGCGAACGGGUGAGUAAUACAUCGGAACAUGUCCUGUAGUGGGGGAUAGCCCGGCGAAAGCCGGAUUAAUACCGCAUACGAUCUACGGAUGAAAGCGGGGGACCUUCGGGCCUCGCGCUAUAGGGUUGGCAGAUAGCGGAGUAGCUAGUUGGGGGGGUAAAGGCCUACCAAGGCGACGAUCAGGAGCUGGUCUGAGAGGAGGACCAGCGGCACGAGAGGUGAGACACGGACAAGGCGCCUACGGGAGGCAGCAGAGGGGAAUGGUGGACAAUGGGGGAGAGCCUUGUCCAGCCAUGCCGCGUGUGUGAAGAAGGCCUUCGGGUUGUAAAGAAGUGUUGUCUGGAAAGAAACGCUGUGAGCUAAUACAGUCGGGGGGUGACGGUACCGGGAGAAUAAGCACCGGCUAACUACGUG